CACCGUAUCAAGUUUCGAUCUACCGUGGGCUGAUAUGAUAUCAGGCACCUCAUGAAUGCCGGGCGAUCCGCUGGCGUCAGACGUCCUUUACCAAAUCUCCCGUCGGUGUCAGACGUCCUGUCGAUGUCAGACAUCCUGUCGGUGUCAGAGGUCUCGUCCCAUCGACACCAGACGUCUCGUCCCAUCGGAAAGAAAAACCGUCAUUCCCGUCACCCCUUCGGGGAUG
rnacentral:lncRNA from 1 species